UUUGGGGCUGCCUGAAGUCAGUCCUGGAGAGAAGUGUGUGCGCUGCUGAAGACAGAUGGACGUUCGGGCUGCUUCCACCUUUUGGCCACUGUGAGUAACGCUGCUGUGAGCCUUUGUUCACGUGUGAAUGGGGUGCCAACAUCUGUUUGAGUCUCUGCUUUCAACACUCCUGGGAGAAAUGCGUUCUUGAGGACAUAGGGGAUUCGUGUUGGAAUUUGGUGUUGCAACGCGUACAGCUUCCUCUGCAGCACACCUGGGAGCUGCAGGACCCCACCGCCCUCACGCCCCCGCUGUCCAGCCUGCGGGCCCUGCCCACUCACCAGUAUCCCAGUGAUCGAGCGGACAGGUGAGAGAGUAGCUCCAGUUUCUGUUAUUCCAUCUUGUCCAGAAGCAGGAAUCCCUGAGGUGUGACUGCAGCAGGCUCCACCUGGCACCAGACAGCUGUACUGGACACACCAAAGCUGAAACCUCCUGAACGGCUCCACUUCAAAACUGCUGGGCAAGAAAAAGAUUUUCAGCAAAUCGCCCCAGC